rnacentral:lncRNA from 1 species
UGCUGGCAUGUUUGCAAAAUAGCACAAGGUGCUGUAAAAUGAAGAUAUAUUGUUUAAUAUCAUGAGAUAGAAAUAAAAGAUGAAGAUCUAGCUGUACCCGUCCCGAGCCACACUACUGCAGCCACAUUGCUGCUGGCAUUUUUGCAAAAUAGCACAAGGUCACAACAAUUGAUGUAACAAAUAUAAUCAAUGGACCAGGCACCUGCACCAUGAUUCUUUGGAGUACUAAAAUUCGUCUCUUUAUGUUUAUACUUCUCAUAAUGAAAAAUGUCACAUUUUUAUGAAAGAAAUAAUGGAA